AGUGCUAAGUCAGGCAGUAUAUACUAAAAUGGGAAUGAUAUAGAAAAAAAUUAGCAUAGCCCUGUGCAAAGACAACAGGCAAAUUUGUCUAGUCGUCCAUAUUUCU
rnacentral:snRNA from 1 species